rnacentral:rRNA from 2 species
CAACUUUCAACAACGGAUCUCUUGGCUCUCGCAUCGAUGAAGAACGCAGCGAAAUGCGAUAAGUAAUGUGAAUUGCAGAAUUCAGUGAAUCAUCGAAUCUUUGAACGCACCUUGCGCUCCUUGGUAUUCCGAGGAGCAUGCCUGUUUGAGUGUCAUAAA